UUGAGAGUUUGAUCCUGGCUCAGGAUGAACGCUGGCGGCGUGCCUAACACAUGCAAGUUGAGCUAUUUACUUCCGUAAAGAGCGGCGGACAGGUGAGUAACGCGUGGGUAACCUACCCUUUACCCACGGAUAACAUACCGAAAGGUAUGCUAAUACGGGAUAAUAUAUUUGAGAGGCAUCUCUUAAAUAUCAACGGUGAGCCAGUACAGGAUGGACCCGCGUCUGAUCAGCUAGUUGGUAAGGUAACGGCUUACCAAGGCGACGAUCAGUAGCCGACCUGAGAGGGUGAUCGGCCCCAUUGGAACUGACACACGGUCCAAACUCCUACGGGAGGCUGCAGUGGGGAUUAUUGCACACUGGGCGAAAGCCUGAUGCAGCAACGCCGCGUGAGUGAUGCAGGACUUCCGGUCGUACUACUCUUUCCUCAAGGAAGAUAAUGACGGUACUUGAGUAGGGAG
rnacentral:rRNA from 1 species